rnacentral:rRNA from 1 species
GACGAACGCUGGCGGCGUGCUUAACACAUGCAAGUCGAGCGGUAAGGCCCUUUCGGGGGUACACGAGCGGCGAACGGGUGAGUAACACGUGGGUGACCUGCCCUCAGCUCUGGGAUAAGCCUGGGAAACCGGGUCUAAUACCGGAUAUGACUCCAUGACGCAUGUUGUGGGGUGAAAGCCUUGUGCGGCUGAGGAUGGGCCCGCGGCCUAUCAGCUUGUUGGUGGGGUGAUGGCCUACCAAGGCGACGACGGGUAGCCAGCCUGAGAGGGCGACCGGCCACACUGGGACUGAGACACGGCCCAGACUCCGUACGGGAGGCAGCAGGUGGGGAAUCUUGCGCAAUGGGCGAAAGCCUGACGCAGCGACGCCGCGUGA